AAGGUGUGGUGGCUGACGAGAAAGAGGACAAGGAAAGUGACUAUAAAGAGGAAAGUUCUGUUGUGCCGAAUAACGAUGAAGGACAGGAGGAUGUGGAAUCAUCAACAGAUGUGGAUGUUGAAACAUCUGACAAUGACGGAGAACAGGAGGAAG
rnacentral:ribozyme from 1 species